AGACCUCUAGGUUCUGCUACUCUAUCAAUAGCAGACCCUCACUGGGACCUCUCAGACAUCUUGUUGUUUCCCUAGGUCAUGGAGGUCCUGCAACUUUGGAUCUGUGCCUACCAGAGCAGAGCUGCUCAAGUAAGGUAGGGUCUGCUCUCCGGAGUGCUGCAGCAGUCCAGGGUUUGGACCAGAUCUCCUGCUCUCAUGAACAGCUCUCUCACCUGCCCCACCCUGCCUCCAUCCCCUGACAUCAGGACCAGCUCUACUAUGCUGCACAAGUGCAGGUCCCACUCUGAGUGCUGCAAAAGAUGCUUCUCUGAGGACCAAGGAUGAUCUUUAGGGGAUUCAUGACACAGCCAGUGUCAGAGGAAGAUCAAGGGCUGCCCUAGCCAUCUGCAUUGAGAGCCAAGUUCAGGCUGCUGCAACAGGAUCUAAAGCAGCUUCCAUUUCUCCAGCAAAGUCCAGCAGAAGCCUGAACCCCGGGUGACUACUUUCAUUGGGCCUUGAUUGCUGCUGCAAAGUCUGACAGUCACGUUUAUGAAAGUUUCCAGGAUGCUGAUCCUGAGAGUCACACUUCGAGUGGUGCCAACCUAGGCUGAUUCGACAUCUUUGAAGAACAACCACUGACCAGUGAGGAACCAGAGGAGCUUGAAGACAGCUUGGAACUCAGAUGUGUGCUCUGUAGCCUCUGCUCCAGGCCAGGCCUGGUCCUUCUGCUGGGUCACUGUUUAUUUGGCCAAUAUUACUUUCAAUAGUAAAGAAGCAAUUAUGUGUACAACGGUUUACACAGAGAUGCUUAACUGCUCAAGGUACCGAGAGUAAAGCACUUCCCUAAAUGGAUCAAAUAUCCCAUACUUCUGCCUCCCAAGAGUUAAGGAUCUCCAUGGAAGAGGAGGAUAAAAGAGCCAGAUGUGAUGGGGUAGAGGCCAUCCAAGGAAACAGCAUCGUUUAGAUACAGCAGGGCAGCUGCAUGUCCAAACUCACAUUGUGACAUCAUCAUGCACAAACCUAUACAAACCCAAGUCAGACUGAAUUCCAGCAUGGAGGGGGGAGUUGGGCAUCAAACUCCACUACUAGCAAGGGGGUUAUU